ACUUUUUAUUUUGUCAGAAGAUGUGGUGCCCAAAUCAAUGGAAAGCCCUGCGGUGAUUCUGUUGUACAGUUAGGGUCGAGACUAUGGUGCUCCCUACACACAUCAGCCAUUCUCCUCCAUGUGCAGUUUGCCACUUUCCUCAAAUAUUUGGAUCUGUUCCCAAUGCAGCAUUCGGUUGCCCAGGCUGGACAAGCCAAGCUUCGAGGUUGAUUUAUGAGCCACUAACAUCAGGAUGUGUGGGUAAGUUACACUGUGAGGAAGCUGGUGAAGAGAAGGAAAAUUAAACAUUUUGGAGGAGUUCUUCUUAGCUGCUGAAUGUGAUUUCUUUAAAAACAA